GCAUAAUCAUUUGCCUUUUAAUUCAAGGCUAGCAUAAAUGGAUCCACGAAAUUCUCCCUGUCUCAUGAUUAUAUGUAAAACUUAAACUCCAGGUGAAGAUGCCUGGCUACUCUUGAAAGACAAGAAGACCCUAUAGAUUUUAAGUGGAAUAUAUACCCCGCUCUAUACCCUCACUUUAGUUGGGGCGACUAAGGAUAAACCCAAACAUCCUACAAAAAAAUGAAAUAUAAUUCUAAUAAUAGACCUUAAAUUAAAAAGAUAAAGAAGAAAUUACCUUAGGGAUAACAGGCUUAUCCCCCUAGAGAGUUCAAAUUAACAGGGGGGUUUGGCACCUCGAUGUUGGCUUAGAGAAACCUAUUAAUGCAGAAAUUAACAAGGUUAGUGUGUUCAACUAUUAAACCUCU
rnacentral:rRNA from 1 species